rnacentral:ribozyme from 1 species
UGCCCAGCAUCUCCUACCCCUACCUUCUCGCGGUACUGGCCGGGGUACGAGCAACCUUGGUGAUGAUCGGGUUACCAACUGCGGUGGG